GAAAUGAGUGUCGACCAAAGAAACACAGGCUUUUGUCAUGGUAUGGUGAUGACCAGCGCCAUCGUGUCGUGCACUCCCGGUUCCCGUCAUUCCAUGAACUCACCCCGGACUCAUUCAUUGUCUUGUCUCCCAUAAUCAUGCACACCAGGUCCCAAUCUUCCCAUCACUCUGUUUAAAUGUUUCUCCUCGGCUCCCCUCUCUUGUCGGUUAUUGUUGCUACAUGUCGCACGUCAGUGGUGAGUUUCGUGUCGCUGUUUAACCUCAGCCCCUUUUCUUUCGUUCAGUUUUGUUUUUGUAUUCGGUGUUCUUUUCAAUUAAAAUCCAGCACGAAUGCAAUUUUGCCUGCGCCUUGUUCCUACUCUAUACGACUACAACGUGACAGCCUUGGGAGUGACCAGAGAAAAACGAUAACUCUAGUUGUACUGUAGUUUGAAAGGCUUGCAGGUUCCGGAUCAUUCUGGGGCCAGCUAGCAGGGUCUGCCCCGCUCCUACACACCCUGCUGCCAUUGGGACCUUGUCACGGGAGGCAUUUAAAAGCUUGAGGCUGAAUACAGAACGGCCAGAAUGGAAGACAGAACAGGCAACGCUGCAUGACGGAGAUGAAGGGUGCAAGUGGUGACAAAUUUACAACCACCAGCACCCAUUCCUCCCACACCACCACUCAAAGGCUGGCCCAGAGAUGACACCUUCUCCACCACAAAGGGGCUACAACAGUUGGUUCCCUACACGCUGUUGAGAAAAAGGCCAGAGUACAGGAGGUGAGCCGAGGGUUUCGGGAGCAACAGCUGAGGAUGGAUCAUCAAUCUACCCCAGGACCUGAGAUGGAUGACGUACAACCCCCUCCCCCUGGGUGUUUGUCUCUGAACAGAACGAAGAACCCAGUAAAAUAGAAAACUUUCAACAGCUCUGUGAGGAAAUGGGGAGGCCCUACAUAGAUCCCAAAUAAGGACUAUGGGAGGGGUGGUAAUCUGUGGUCAUGUGAUAGUGAUAAACCAAUCAUUGAACAUAGUUGUAUAAUAUGUAUAUCCUUCAUACACAAAGGGAGGGAACUGAAAUAUGAUAUUAUGGUAAACCAAUCAUUACGUAAAAUGUGUACUUCCCUCAUGAACCUCAUGAAUAAAAAACGUUAUAAAAGGGUCUGGUGGGUUCGAUAAAAGUAUUUUUUUGCUUUUGGAGCGAAGACUCGAGAAGAGUUGAUCUGACUCUUGGCUAUUGGACCCUCCCGGGAACCUGGCUCUGUCUGUACUAGUGAUUGACUAAAUAAAGUGAAACACGGUGGCUUGAGAAGAUCUACAAGGAAGAAGUGGAGAAACUGCCCAAACCAAGGUGUGCAAAGCCGGUUGAGGCAUACCGAAAAAUAAUCCAAGUUGGGAUCACUGCCAAAAUGUGCAAAGUAUUAAAUAAAGGGUCUAAUUACUUAU